UAAGCCGAGGCCGAAAGGCGUAGGUGAUGGACAAUCGGUUGAUAUUCCGAUACCGCCUAUUUACGUUUGAGAAAUGGGGUGACGCAGUAGGAUAAGAUGUGCGCACUAUUGGAUGUGCGUCUAAGCAUUUAGGCAUGCUUGAUAGGCAAAUCCGUCGAGCUAAGCUGAGGUGUGAUGGGGAGCCAUUUAUGGCGAAGUAUCUGAUUCCACACUGCCAAGAAAAGCCUCUAUCGAG
rnacentral:rRNA from 1 species